CAUUUGAAAGAAAACUUCAGGCUGUUUAUAUCAUUGAUUAACAGGCAAGAUAUUUUUUUGUGUCAAAUAAUUUUUGGUUUUCUCAAAGAAAUUUAUUUUUUGAAUUGACAAUUUAUCUGUGGCUCGGACUGCGUAUAAUAAAUUGGAAGCUUUUAUGUAUUUCUGGAAGGAAUUGGGAGCGUUUAUCUCUAAUUCUUCCCAAGGAUUUUUUAUUUAAAGUUUUUUUCCGCGAGAGAGAUAAAAGAAAAUAGCAUCUCCAAAACACCACCAGUCUGAUCUUUGGCGGUUUAGGCGCACCAUUGCGAAUGAUUGUCGGCGUAAAUUUUAUUGUUGACCAACACGUAUACACCAGAAAACGAUAAUCAACCAUUCCAAGCUCUUGUCAAGAUUAUGGAAUAAAUAGAGCAAAAUUUUGACAUACAUAUAUAAAUUCUUGACGUUUCUUAAGAGGACCCAAAACAAAAAAGAACAAUAUAAUUGAGAGCGUAUCAUCAGAAGGGCGUCAUGGUUACCUUCUCCAUCAAUUGCUAGGAUAUUAAGAAUAACCGCAAUAAAUACACUAGUCUACAA